CUUGAACGCUGGCGGCAGGCCUAACACAUGCAAGUCGAACGAGUGGCGGACGGGUGAGUAAUGUCUGGGAAACUGCCUGAUGGAGGGGGAUAACUCCUGGAAACGGUAGCUAAUACCGCAUACCAUCAGAUGUGCCCAGAUGGGAUUAGCUAGUUGGUGGGGUAACGGCUCACAAAGGAGACGAUCCAUAGCUGGUCUGAGAGGAUGACCAGCCACACGGGAACUGAGACACGGUCCAGACUCCUGCGGUAGGUAGCAGGGGGGAAUAUUGCACAAAGGGCGAAAGCCUGAUGCAGCAAUGCCGCGUGUAUGAAGAAGGCCUUCGGGUUGUAAAGUACUUUCAGCGGGGAGGCGUUACCCGCAGAAGAAGCACCGGCUAACUCCGUGCCAGCAGCCGCGGUAAUAC
rnacentral:rRNA from 1 species